UGAGUACAGUGGCGACCGGGUGAGUAACACGUGGAUAACCUACCGCCGAGUGGGGAAUAACCCUGGGAAACCGGGGCUAAUUCCGCAUAACACCCCGGGUCUUCGGUCCUGGGGUUGAAACCCGCAAGGGGCUGGGCGAGGGGUCCGCGGCCGAUUAGCUAGUUGGUGAGGUAACGGCCCACCAAGGCCAUGAUCGGUAGCCGGCCUGAGAGGGCGGACGGCCACACUGGAACUGAAACACGGUCCAGACUCC
rnacentral:rRNA from 1 species